CUUUAAAAAGAAUGCCAAAUUUUGUAAACGAUGUUUUACAAGUAAACUUUCUUCAGCAAGGCUUCCGUUAUUACAAAUUGCACCACCCCAAACUAAAUUAGUGUACACAACGGUAGUGCUUUCAUACUGUCGCACUGACAAUGUUUGACGUGACGUUCUGUGUAUAGAAUGGAAUGUGUGACAUCACGCUCUGUGUAUAGAAUGCCCCAAACUACUGUAUGACAUCACGUCCGGUAAACAAAAUUAGCUGAAGAUAAAGAAGGCAGGGCAAGAAAUGGCUGUCUGUCCACACUCUGGACAAGAAAUGAGCAUGCAUUGAGGGAACAUUAUUUACUAUGAUUUAGUUCCCAGCAGACUCCAGAUAGAAGUUCUUUCCAGAUGUAAAGUGAAUUGAUGAAAUAUUGAAAAAGUGUUUGAGUGUUGGUGUUGGUAUUGUCUAGAUAUAAAAAAAAUUAAUGAGCAGCUGCCAGAUGAAUGUACUUUCCAGAUGUAAACCAUCACAGAUGAUGCCUGUUUGUAUUUACCAGUGUUUAAAAAGUGAUCAGAUUUGAUGUGGGUGAUUCAAAACAAACCUUCAAAUUGACAAUGGCAAAAAGCAAGUGGAAAUGGAAUACUCCAGUUGAUGAAAAUGUUAAACAAAGAAAGAGAUAAAGCACUGUAUAUACUGCGAUAAACAACGGUUGACGCGCGGACCAGUAAGAGAGCAUUAUGACAACAAUUAUGACGUCAAAUUGCCGCAUGACAGCCAGUUCAUUCAUCCUCGGGUCUGCUCAGCUUUGUCAGUUCACAAAUAUUUUGUUAGAAAGUCUGCAAAGCCACCGACUUGGAUACAUUGGUUAUUUUCCUUGUACCAACAAUAUGGAAAUAAAAGUUGUUUAUUAGAA